CAUCAUAACAGAGGAGUUCAAUUAAGAAGAUGCAUGAUUUAUGAUGAAAAUAUCAAAUAAUUUUUAUCAAUUAAUAAUUUAUAUAUAAUUAUAAGAAGCACAAUCAUCCAGACGAUUGGCUUUAGGAUAUAUUUUUUAAUAGUAUGCAUCUGAUACUAUCAACAUCCAUCUUAAUCAGCAUGCCUUUUAUAUUGAAAACUAGACUUCUAAUCAUUUCAAUGCUUG
rnacentral:lncRNA from 1 species